UACGUAGGGUGCAAGCGUUGUCCGGAAUUAUUGGGCGUAAAGCGCUCGUAGGCGGUUUGUUGCGUCGGCUGUGAAAUCCCGAGGCUCAACCUCGGGUCUGCAUCCGAUACGAGCAAACUAGAGUGUUGCAGGGGAGAAUGGAAUUCCUGGUGUAGCGGUGAAAUGCGCAGAUAUCAGGAGGAACACCGGUGGCGAAGGCGGGUCUCUGGGCAACAACUGACGCUGAGGAGCGAAAGCGUGGGGAGCGAACAGG
rnacentral:rRNA from 1 species